UAUGAAUCGAAUUUUGUGGUCUUUGGUGCUGGCCUCUGUCUCUCAGCAUUACUGUUUUCAAGGCUUCUCCAUGCUGCGAUGUUGCUGUGUCAGAUGUUCUCAGAACACACAGAUCCGACUAUAACAUGACACCCUAGGAAAUGGAGUCUGUAGUCCUUCAGGAUGAUACGUUGGCCUACGCAGAAAGAGAUUCUCUCACCAAUGCCUGUGAUUUGUACCUUUCCUAUGGGUGUAUUAAAAACAGCUGCUUCACGAGCCAGCGAUGGUUUUGUCUUUUCUCUGUCAUCCUGAAGGGAGAAAUAUCUUCUGAAGCUUCAAGAGGAAGAAACCGAGGGUCAGAGAGUUGCUCAAGGUCUCCCUUGAGAGAACAGAGGCCUUAGGAAGCAGACCAAGGGCUAGAGGUUCCUCCGGACAUCUUCCCUGGACAGAGGACGGGCGCGGCCAGGGUCCAUGUGCUACAGAAAUGAGAAAGUCACAAUCCCCAUCUGCAAGAAGUUCACAGUCUACUGGGGAGUAGACGUGCCACCAAAUCAUUCUUGCACACCGAGCUACUAGAAACAGUCGCAGUGUGCAGACUCUGGUUCUCCACAUCGGCAGGACUCGUGGAGAACGUUGUCAAGCAAGAGGCCAUGCCAA